GUGGAUUAAGCUCUGAUCCUUCUCCUAGAUGAGGAAAAAGGCCUAAGCCAAGCAGUGAGAUAUUACAGGCAGAAGCGUAAUUUUCAUAAAAAUGACGGACA